GAUGAAGAACGUAGCAAAAUGCGAUAAGUAAUGUGAAUUGCAGAAUUCAGUGAAUCAUCGAAUCUUUGAACGCACAUUGCGCCCCUUGGUACUCCAUGGGGCAUGCCUGUUCGAGCGUCAUUUACACCCUCAAGCUCAGCUUGGUGUUGGGCGUCUGUCCCGCUUCGUGCGCGGACUCGCCUCAAAUGCAUUGGCAGCGGUCUUGCCAGCUUCUCGCGCAGCACAUUGCGCUUCUAGAGGCUUUGGCGGAUCGGCGUCCAUCAAGUACACCCACAGUUUGACCUCGGAUCAGGUAGGGAUACCCGCUGAACUUAAGCAUAUCAAUAAGCGGAGGA
rnacentral:misc_RNA from 1 species